ACACGGUCCAGACUCCUACGGGAGGCAGCAGUGGGGAAUAUUGGACAAUGGGGGCAACCCUGAUCCAGCCAUGCCGCGUGUGUGAAGAAGGCCUUCGGGUUGUAAAGCACUUUUGUCCGGAAAGAAAAGCACUGGGUUAAUACCCCGGUGUCAUGACGGUACCGGAAGAAUAAGCACCGGCUAACUUCGUGCCAGCAGCCGCGGUAAUACGAAGGGUGCAAGCGUUACUCGGAAUUACUGGGCGUAAAGCGUGCGUAGGUGGUGCGUUAAGUCUGUCGUGAAAGCCCCGGGCUCAACCUGGGAAUGGCGAUGGAUACUGGCGCGCUAGAGUGCGGUAGAGGAGAGUGGAAUUCCCGGUGUAGCAGUGAAAUGCGUAGAGAUCGGGAGGAACAUCAGUUGCGAAGGCGGCUCUCUGGACCAGCACUGACACUGAGGCACGAAAGCGUGGGGAGCAAACAGGAUUAGAUACCCUGGU
rnacentral:rRNA from 1 species